rnacentral:lncRNA from 1 species
AGCCAGGAUCCACCCUUCCCUAGACCUCAUUUAAGGGUUGAGACAGUGAAGACAAGGGUGUCUUGCUGGAGAUUCCUGCCUACCUGAGGUCUGCUGGGUGUCUUUACUCAGGUGGUUUUUGAACUGGAAUGCACUGUUACCUUGAGUUGCCAGUUCAACCACCAGGUGGCCAUCAGCGAGCAGAAGUCGGCCUGUCCUUGGGUGGCGGCUCUAUCCCAGCUGUGGGGAUACGAAGGGGAAAAGCAGAAGCUCACCUCUGGUCACCAGCGCUCAUUUUAAGAUUUCUUGAUUGUCGUUACUACUCUCACCACUGCUGAGCUCUUGAUUUCUGCUAUUAAUACACCAUGUACACUUGUAUGAGCUUAUUCUUUGAAUCAGUAACUGCUACCUUUCGAAAAGCAUACUUGUUUUUUAGUGGGGAGGAAUAAAACAGCAGAAAGGAUCUAUGAGACCCAGAUUUAUAUUGGGCUGUGGUUGUUUAUACAAUUUGGAUGUGCUCAGAAUAAUUUAUUUUAAAUUAUCUCUAUUAUUAACAUUUAAGAAAGUUGAGUAUUUGCUAAAUUAAAGUAAUAGGAAUAUAUAACAAUAUAUUAUUCUUACAGUUACCAAGAAGGAAAAAGAAAAAGGGGGUGACAACAUAUUGAUUUAAGUUUUAAGUAAAAUCUACCUUCAUGAGACAAAUGUGCAGUCUCAAAUGUGUCCUACUACUAUCAUGUUCUACCAGUACUUGCCUUCUUAGUAUGUAACCUAGCAUGUACCACGAAAAACAUAACUGCUUUUUCCUUUAUGCAAUAGGAGUAUUGUAUUGGAAAGGAAUAAAAACCUCCUUCUGCAC